rnacentral:rRNA from 1 species
UAGCCGUAAACGAUACUCGCUAGGUGUCGGCCACGGUGCGACCGUUGUCGGUGCCGUAGGGAAGCCGUGAAGCGAGCCACCUGGGAAGUACGGCCGCAAGGCUGAAACUUAAAGGAAUUGGCGGGGGAGCACCACAACGGGUGGAGCUUGCGGUUUAAUUGGAUUCAACGCCGGAAAUCUUACCGGGACCGGACAGCAGAAUGAUGGCCAGGUUGAUGACCUUGCUUGACAAGCUGAGAGGAGGUGCAUGGCGAGUCGUGU